AUAUAUAUUAAAUAUAUAGUAUAUAUAUAAAAAAUAUAGUGUAUAUAUAUAAAAUAUAUAGUAUAUAUAUAAAAAUACAGUGUAUAUAUAUAAAAUAUAGUAUAUAUAUAAAAUAUAGUGUGUGUGUAUAUAUAUAUAUAUAUACACACCCACACAUAUAUGUGUAUAUAUGUGUAUAUAUAUAUAUUUUUUUUUAGAUAGGGUCUUGCUGUGUUGCCCAGAUUGAUCUCAAACUCCUGGGAUCAAAUAAUCCUCCCACCUCAGCCUCCCAAAGUGCUGGGAUUGCAGGUGUGAGCCACCGUGACCGGCCUAUGAUCCCUUUUGAGUUAAGUUUUCUGUGUGGUGUGAGGUGGUGUUCAACUUCAUUAGUUUGCAGCUAAGCAUCCGGUCAUCCCCAGCAACAUUUAUUGAAAUGGCUAUUCUUUCCUCAUUGAACUGUUAUGGCAAUUCUGGAUCUCUUGAAUUUUCAUAUGAAUUUUAGGAUCAGUUUAUUGGUUUCUGAAAGAAAUUAAAAGGCAAUUAGGAUUUUGAUAGGAAUUUCAUUAACUGUAGAUAA
rnacentral:lncRNA from 1 species